rnacentral:rRNA from 1 species
CGGGUGAGUAACACGUGGAUAACCUACCUAUAAGACUGGGAUAACUUCGGGAAACCGGAGCUAAUACCGGAUAAUAUUUUGAACCGCAUGGUUCAAAAGUGAAAGACGGUCUUGCUGUCACUUAUAGAUGGAUCCUCGCUGCAUUAGCUAGUUGGUAAGGUAACGGCUUACCAAGGCAACGAUGCAUAGCCGACCUGAGAGGGUGAUCGGCCACACUGGAACUGAGACACGAUCCAG